rnacentral:rRNA from 1 species
UACGAAGGGGGCUAGCGUUGCUCGGAAUCACUGGGCGUAAAGGGUGCGUAGGCGGGUUUUUAAGUCAGUGGUGAAAUCCUGGAGCUCAACUCCAGAACUGCCUUUGAUACUGAAGAUCUUGAGUCCGGGAGAGGUGAGUGGAACUGCGAGUGUAGAGGUGAAAUUCGUAGAUAUUCGCAAGAACACCAGUGGCGAAGGCGGCUCACUGGCCCGGUACUGACGCUGAGGCACGAAAGCAUGGGGAGCAAAAGGG